CAGUCGCCGCGGGAAUACAGAGGAUGCAAGCGUUAUCCGGAAUGAUUGGGCGUAAAGCGUCUGUAGGUGGCUUUUCAAGUCCGCCGUCAAAUCCCAGGGCUCAACCCUGGACAGGCGGUGGAAACUACCAAGCUGGAGUACGGUAGGGGCAGAGGGAAUUUCCGGUGGAGCGGUGAAGUGCGUUGAGAUCGGAGAGAACACCAACGGCGAAAGCACUCUGCUGGGCCGACACUGACACUGAGAGACGAAAGCUAGGGGAGCAAAUGGGAUUAGAUACCCCCGUAGUCCCUGUCUCUUAUAC
rnacentral:rRNA from 1 species